CAAUUUUGAAUUAAUUACCCACAUCAUCAACUUUCCCUUCCACAUCAUACUGCAUGUGUUUUGUGUUUGGAGUUGAAUAGAGUCGGAGUCAAACAGAGUCAGAGCACAUUAGAGUAGAAAAGGGACUGUCGAUAUCCUUCAUUCUGUCUUCAAUUUGCAGACAAGGACACUGUGGCCAAAAGAGUUAGAGGGAUAUGCCCAGUGUCACAUGAUCAAGUAGUAAUGUCAUGAUCAAUAAGGACAUUCUUGGUCUUACCCAACGUUUAGUCCUUAAUUCUUUCUUCUAGACACAUUUCCAGUUUUGGCAUCUAUCUUUCCCAAAUGUGACUCAGGGGUAACCAAUGUGACACCAUUUCUGGAUCCAAGGUAGAUUCUGAUUAGUUUAAACCAACCAAUGAAUGGCCUGCUCCUGGCAACCUUUAUUGAUCCAGUGGGGAGUACAUGACCUCUGGUGGUCCAGUCAGACUGAAGGAGACGGCUUAUGCCCUCUGUCUGGGGGAGAAGAUUCCCCUUUAUGUAGCCUUCAUUACCACUGAGAGACAACUUUUCACCAUCAGGGAUCAGUCUGACCCAGGUAUCCAUGCACAAUUAGAGCCCAGCUCAACCUCUACUGAGGCUACUUAUACCACACAAUUGUCUCACAAUUACCAGUAGGUUAGGCUAGUCUUCUGGCAUCUGGGCAAAAGGAAUUUUUCCAACUCUUACAGGCUGCUGAGAAGGGCUGGUGAGUAGUCAUAGAACAGCACUGAGGGAAUUUCUGUAGUUCAGUCUUUGGCAACUCAACCUUUAUGUUGGUCCCCAGCACUGUGAAUGGCACUGCCUGCGUUCUCAUAUGGUUAAUGGAUGAAAGAGGAAGAAACUACCUGAACUAGCCAAGCUAUUUUAGUUGAAAGUGACAGAUAAUACAAAAGGCAGAUUCUGCACCAUCUGAGGCACCAGGGAAAAUCACUCCAAAUAUUGAACUUGGCAUCUCUGCCGUGAGUUCAAGUCUCCCCGCUCCGCCAUCUUAAACGCCUAUGCAAAACGCCAGUAACGCUGAAGAAGCUGAAGAUGAACGGUUCUAUGAAGACCUACAAGACCUUUUAGAACUAACACCCCCCCCC